GCGCCCUUAGCUCAGUUGGCAGAGCACCGGACUUUUAAUCCGGGUGUCCAGGGUUCGAGCCCCUGAGGGCGCACCA
rnacentral:tRNA from 1 species